AACAUGCCCCCUCUGCUGGAGAACAGCUUCAGGACCAGCCAAACCGCUUGGUUGCUAUGGGUACCGAGGUAACGCGGUCACCAAGGAGAUCAAAGCGGAAACUGAGGAGCAGGCUGGCUGAGGGGACGCCAAAGGCUGUGGUCUCAGAAAACAAAAUUGAAUGACUGAAGGACACAAGGAAUUAUGAGGCUUGUAUAAUACAGAGUUUAUCUCCCUGGCUUCCAAAGGAAAAUUGGCUUACAUGUGUGACUUGAGAAAAGAUUUAAUUGAAAAGAAGCCUUACUAAUUGCAUUCAGUGAAGUGAAAUGCCCUUGAAAAAGACCAUUUAUUGAUUAAAUCACAUUACCAGCAGAGCUAUUAAUCUGAAUAAUUUCAUUCUAAUGAGAUUUGGAGAAUAUUCUUUCAUGCUUUGUACAGGUGUCAUCAAUCAUUGUGUAUCAGCUUGGCUUUAUGCAUGUAUACAUACAAAUAAAAUUGUAUAUUCCAAUGUGUAAAUAAAAAUUAGGGUAAUUAA